UCGAAGAAUCUGAAUUCACACUGUCAAGAAAAGCUGCUAACGAGAUAUCAGGUGCCCGUACCGCAAACCGACACAGGUAGAUGAGGAGAGAAUCCUAAGAUGAGCGAGAGAAGCGUUGUUAAGGAACUCGGCAAAAUAACCCCGUAACUUCGGGAGAAGGGGUGCCAUCGAAAGGUGGCCGCAGAUAAAUGGCCCAAGCGACUGUUUAGCAAAAACACAGGUCUCUGCUAAAUCGAAAGAUGACGUAUAGGGGCUGACGCCUGCCCGGUGCUGGAAGGUUAAGGGGAAAGGUUAGCGCAAGCGAAGCUUUGAACUUAAGCCCCAGUAAACGGCGGCCGUAACUAUAACGGUCCUAAGGUAGCGAAAUUCCUUGUCAGGUAAGUUCUGACCCGCACGAAUGGCGUAACGACUUGGGCACUGUCUCAACAACGCGCUCGGCGAAAUUGUAGCACUAGUGAAGAUGCUAGUUACCCGCGAUUGGACGGAAAGACCCCGUAGAGCUUCACCGCAGCUUGACAUUGGGUUUUGGUAUUUCAUGUACAGGAUAGGUGGGAGACCAGGAAGCAGUAACGCCAGUUACUGUGGAGUCGACGUUGGGAUACCACUCUUGAGAUACCGGAAUUCUAACCAGUGGCCAUGGAACUGGUCAUGGGACAUAGUCAGGUGGGCAGUUUGACUGGGGCGGUCGCCUCCCAAAGAGUAACGGAGGCGUCCAAAGGUUCCCUCAGAAUGGUUGGAAAUCAUUCGGAGAGUGCAAAGGCAGAAGGGAGCCUGACUGCGAGAGAUACAACUCGAGCAGGUACGAAAGUAGGGCUUAGUGAUCCGGUGGUACCGAGUGGAAGGGCCAUCGCUCAACGGAUAAAAGCUACCUCGGGGAUAACAGGCUUAUCUCCCCCAAGAGUCCACAUCGACGGGGAGGUUUGGCACCUCGAUGUCGGCUCGUCGCAUCCUGGGGCUGAAGUAGGUCCCAAGGGUUGGGCUGUUCGCCCAUUAAAGCGGCACGCGAGCUGGGUUCAGAACGUCGUGAGACAGUUCGGUCCCUAUCCGUCGCGGGCGUAGGAAAUUUGAGGAGAUCUGUCCUUAGUACGAGAGGACCGGGAUGGACGAACCACUGGUGUAUCAGUUGUCCCGCCAAGGGCAUGGCUGAGUAGCCAAGUUCGGAACGGAUAAGCGCUGAAGGCAUCUAAGCGCGAAACCGACUCCAAGAUAAGAUUUCCCACAGCGCAGGCUGGUAAGACCCCAUGUAGACUACAUGGUAGAUAGGUCGGAGGUGUAAGCACAGCAAUGUGUUGAGCUGACCGAUACUAAUAGGUCGAGGGCUUGAU
rnacentral:rRNA from 1 species